rnacentral:rRNA from 1 species
UACAGGGGGUGCAAACGUUGCUCGGAAUUAUUGGGCGUAAAGCGCGCGUAGGCGGCUACUUAAGUCGGAUGUGAAAGCCCCUGGCUCAACUGGGGAAGUGCACCCGAAACUGAGUGGCUUGAGUGCGAAAGAGGGUCGCGGAAUUCCCGGUGUAGAGGUGAAAUUCGUAGAUAUCGGGAGGAACACCGGUGGCGAAGGCGGCGACCUGGGUCGACACUGACGCUGAGGCGCGAAAGCGUGGGGAGCAAACGGG